rnacentral:tRNA from 1 species
GCCGGGAUGGCGGAACUGGCAGACGCGCUAGAUUCAAAAUCUGGUCUCCGUAAGGAGGUGUGGGUUCGAUUCCCUCUCCCGGCA